UUGAACGCUGGCGGAAUGCUUUACACAUGCAAGUCGAGCGGCAGCGCGGGGGCAACCCUGGCGGCGAGCGGCGAACGGGUGAGUAAUACAUCGGAACGUGUCCUUAAGUGGGGGAUAGCUCGGCGAAAGCCGGAUUAAUACCGCAUAAGCUCUGAGGAGGAAAGCGGGGGCUCCGUAAGGACCUCGCGCUGUUGGAGCGGCCGAUGUCGGAUUAGCUAGUUGGUGGGGUAAAGGCCCACCAAGGCGACGAUCCGUAGCUGGUCUGAGAGGAUGAUCAGCCACACUGGAACUGAGACACGGUCCAGACUCCUACGGGAGGCAGCAGUGGGGAAUUUUGGACAAUGGGGGCAACCCUGAUCCAGCCAUUCCGCGUGAGUGAAGAAGGCCU
rnacentral:rRNA from 1 species